ensembl:snRNA U4 U4 spliceosomal RNA
AGCUUUGUGCAGUGACAGUAUCAUAGACAAUGAGGUUUAUCUGAGCCACGAUUAUUGCUAAUUGACAACUUUUCCCAGAAAAUCAUUCCCUGUUUGAUGUACUUUAUUGUGAAGGAUCUCAAAUUUGUACUUUCAUAAAG